CGCGCGCUGGGGGCGGGGGCGCCUGGGUGCCCCGUUUCCUGCCUCCCGUCUCCAGUCUCCCGUUUCUGGGCCCGCGCUCACCUGCGCCGACGCCCGGGGCUCUCUUUGCUCUUCGACUAGGCGUGGGUGAGCGCCGGGCUGGUGUCUGCCCGGUCCCCGCUCGCAGCCAGGCGCGGGAGCGCUCUGUCCAGUGACAGUGAAGCCAGGCUGGAGCAGAAAGCGAUCAAAACGGCCGUCGCAGCAGGGCUCAAUCAUGCCUCCUGCCUCAGCACCCCUUGGCCUGCAGUACAACCCUGACUGCCAAGAUCCCAGAGCUGAAUCCUGUGGCCACCCCCAGGAUCCCAAGGGUGGAGCCUGUGGCCUCCAAAGUUGAGUGCUGCCUGCUCUAUUACAUUUGUGAGGACCAAACCCUUAUUCUUUUGCUGUGCUCCCCUUAAAACCAUUCAUUCAACUAAGGCUGAUUGACCACCUACUAUUUGCCAGGUGCUGUGCCAGCCAAAUCCAGAAUGUGGGAGGGUCUACAGGGCAGAUUACACUUUAUUAAUUAAUGAUUACUAAUUGUUAAUUGAUUAGCACCUGGAGAAAAGAAAUGAAGCUGUUAAAGAAUAAAUAAACUUAAAGACAUGAUUAA